GUGAAUCAUCGAAUUUUUGAACGCAAAUUGCACUCUCUUCGGAGAGUAUGCCUGUUUGAGGGUCAGCCUAAAAAAAAUCGACAUCGUUGCUGUUUCGCGGUGGCAUUCGUCGGAAAUUGGUUUAUCUUUAAUCUUUGGUUUAAGCAACUUAAAAUUUACGUUACGAUUCCAUGAACGUUUCCAAGAGUUAUUUUUUUAUAAGUUUAAGGUAUCGAAUUUAUUAGGCGUGGACGUAAUAUCGGAUCAU
rnacentral:misc_RNA from 1 species